AUAACUACGCUUUCGCUGCCUGAUCGAAGUACAGUAGAUCACUGGCUUAAUCCGCCCACAAGGUGGGUGGACGAAACAUCCCGCAGGUGGAGAUGCCUGAUUCCGGCCUGAGCACGGGGUGCUAAUCAAUUUCGGGAUAGUCCGCACGGCGCUCCGACGCGCGGAUGAGAUUCAGGAGAUAAGGUCCGGUUGAGGGCGUCCGUUUCCUUGCCUGGCUCGAAAACCAACAGCGGAAUAAGCAUGUAGAAACCUUGGGGGUUCCUUGUUUGGACGAGGGUUCGACUCCCUCCAUCUCCACGA
rnacentral:tmRNA from 1 species